UGAGGAAUAUUGGUCAAUGGCCGGAAGGCUGGACCAGCCAAGCCGCGUGGAGGAAGAAGGCGCAGAGCGUCGCAGACUCCUUUUGUCGGGGGACAGACGGCCGCACGCGUGCGGCUCUGAGGGUACCCGAAGAAAAAGCAUCGGCUAACUCCGUGCCAGCAGCCGCGGUAAUACGGAGGAUGCGAGCGUUAUCCGGAUUCAUUGGGUUUAAAGGGUGCGUAGGCGGCGUCUUAAGCCGGCGGUGAAAUCGCGGGGCUCAACCCCGCCGAGCCGUCGGAACUGGGAUGCUCGAGUGUCGGCGAGGCAUGCGGAAUGCGCGGUGUAGCGGUGAAAUGCAUAGAUAUCGCGCAGAACCCCGAUUGCGAAGGCAGCGUGCCAGCCGCCCACUGACGCUGAGGCACGAAAGCGCGGGUAUCGAACAGGAUUAGAUACC
rnacentral:rRNA from 1 species